rnacentral:rRNA from 1 species
AGACCCGAAACCCGGUGAUCUAGCCAUGGGCAGGUUGAAGGUUGGGUAACACUAACUGGAGGACCGAACCGACUAAUGUUGAAAAAUUAGCGGAUGACCUGUGGCUGGGGGUGAAAGGCCAAUCAAACCGGGAGAUAGCUGGUUCUCCCCGAAAGCUAUUUAGGUAGCGCCUCGUGAAUUCAUCUCCGGGGGUAGAGCACUGUUUCGGCUAGGGGGCCAUCCCGGCUUACCAACCCGAUGCAAACUGCGAAUACCGGAGAAUGUUAUCACGGGAGACACACGGCGGGUGCUAACGUCCGUCGUGAAGAGGGAAACAACCCAGACCGCCAGCUAAGGUCCCAAAGUCAUGGUUAAGUGGGAAACGAUGUGGGAAGGCCCAGACAGCCAGGAUGUUGGCUUAGAAGCAGCCAUCAUUUAAAGAAAGCGUAAUAGCUCACUGGUCGAGUCGGCCUGCGCGGAAGAUGUAACGGGGCUAAACCAUGCACCGAAGCUGCGGCAGCGAACGUAUCACUUAAAGCGAUUCAGCGGGUUACGAUUGACGGAGCGAAGCGACGUCAAAGCGUAUACAAAGUCGAGUCGGUUUAAGGAUACGUUCGUUGGGUAGGGGAGCGUU